rnacentral:rRNA from 1 species
CGACCGAGUCAGACGAGGCACCGGUAAUAUUCACGAG